UUCUAGUUCAGUGGUAGAGCAUCUGCCUUGCAAGCAGAAGGUUCCAGGUUCAAUCCCCGGCAUCUCCAGAUAAG